GUGCUCACUUCAGCAGAACAUAUACUAAAAAUCUGAAUGAUACAGAGGAGUUUAGCGCGAUUGGCCUCUGUGAUAGGAAGACAGGCUAAUGCGUUAAGCAUUCCAUAUAUAA
rnacentral:snRNA from 1 species